UAGGGAAUCUUCGGCAAUGGGGGCAACCCUGACCGAGCAACGCCGCGUGAGUGAAGAAGGUUUUCGGAUCGUAAAGCUCUGUUGUAAGAGAAGAACGUGUGUGAGAGUGGAAAGUUCACACAGUGACGGUAACUUACCAGAAAGGGACGGCUAACUACGUGCCAGCAGCCGCGGUAAUACGUAGGUCCCGAGCGUUGUCCGGAAUUAUUGGGCGUAAAGCGAGCGCAGGCGGUUUAAUAAGUCUGAAGUUAAAGGCAGUGGCUUAACCAUUGUUCGCUUUGGAAACUGUUAAACUUGAGUGCAGAAGGGGAGAGUGGAAUUCCAUGUGUAGCGGUGAAAUGCGUAGAUAUAUGGAGGAACACCGGUGGCGAAAGCGGCUCUCUGGUCUGUAACUGACGCUGAGGCUCGAAAGCGUGGGGAGCAAACAGG
rnacentral:rRNA from 1 species